AACGAACGCUGGCGGCAUGCCUAACACAUGCAAGUCGAACGAGACCUUCGUGUCUACUGGCGAACGGGUUCGUAACGCGUGGGAACCUGCCCUUGGGUUCUGAAUAACUCCCCGAAAUGAGCGCUAAUACCGGAUAAUGUCUUCAGACCAAAGCUUUAUCGCCUUUGGAUGGGCGCGCGUUGGUUUAGCUUGUGGGUAGGGUAAAAGCCUACCAAGGCGACGAUCCGUAGCUGGUCUGAGAGGAUGAUCAGUGACACUGGGACAGAGACCAGGCCCAGACGGCUAGGGGAGGCAGGAGUGGGGAAUAUUGGAGAAUGGGCGAAAGGCUGAUCCGGCAAUGCGGCGUGAACGAUGAAGGGGUUAGGGUUGUAAAGCGCUUUUACCCGAGAUGAUAAUGACAGUACCGGGAGAAUAAGCUCCGGCUAACUCCGUG
rnacentral:rRNA from 1 species